GACGAACGCUGGCGGCGUGCUUAACACAUGCAAGUCGAACGGAAAGGCCCUGCUUUUGUGGGGUGCUCGAGUGGCGAACGGGCGAGUAACACGUGAGUAACCUGCCCUUGACUUUGGGAUAACUUCAGGAAACUGGGGCUAAUACCGCAUAUGAUCUCCUGCUGCAUGGUGGGGGUUGGAAAGUUUCGGCUGUUGGGGAUGGACUCGCGGCUUAUCAGCUUGUUGGUGGGGUAGUGGCUUACCAAGGCUUUGACGGGUAGCCGGCCUGAGAGGCUGACCGGCCACCUUGGGCCUGCGAUACGGCCCAGACUCCUACGGGAGGCAGCAGUGGGGAAUAUUGCACAAUGGGCCGAAGCCUGAUGUAGCAACGCCGCGUGCGGGAUGACGGCCUUCGGGUUGUAAACCGCUUUCGCCUGUGACGAAGCGUGAGUGACGGUAAUGGGUAAAGAAGCACCGGCUAACUACGUG
rnacentral:rRNA from 1 species